UACAGAGGUCUCAAGCGUUGUUCGGAUUCAUUGGGCGUAAAGGGUGCGUAGGUGGCGCCGUAAGUCGGGUGUGAAAUUUCGGAGCUUAACUCCGAAACUGCAUUCGAUACUGCGGUGCUUGAGGACUGGAGAGGAGACUGGAAUUCCUGGUGUAGCGGUGAAAUGCGCAGAUAUCAGGAGGAACACCGAUGGCGAAGGCAGGUCUCUGGGCCAUAACUGACGCUGAGGAGCGAAAGCGUGGGGAGCAAACAGG
rnacentral:rRNA from 1 species